AUUCUAAACCCUAACCAGGGUGAGUGAUGUAACGACACUAUAAAGCACUAUUAUGUACCCUUCGGGGGCAUAAAACACUCAUAACAAGGCAUAAUGGGAUUUACAAACCUUGCCUUACAGGGCCAAACACUAACAAAGGCUACAAGCAAAGUCUCUCUAAAUCUCUCCCAUUCUACCUAUAUCUCUCCCAAAUCUCUCCCAAAAUCUCUCCCAAUCUCUCUAGAACCUCUUGGUGGUGAAAAUAACAUUUUACAAUGUUUAUAUGAACAUCCAUACCAUCUCGAACCUUCCCUCAGUCGAAAACAGCUUAAAACGGAAAAGGAAGUCAAAAAUAGGCCUGAAGGCCCACAGGUUACUGUUCACCUGCAAACCCUCGCAACAACCUAAAGCCAUGUUCGCUUCCUAUUCAAUGUUCGUCUCUAUCUGAGAAGUUUCGCAUCCGACCCUCUCACAACGAAACCGGGCAGUUUCGCAUGCACUUGGAUCCUUUCGCUUCUAGUCGGCAUCAUUUUCAUCUACUCGACCCGGUUCGCAUCGAGCCUCACCCUCGCAGACGAACCCUCUCGGACCGAAGCCCCUAUCGCUACGAACCUUCUCAGAUGCGAACUCCUCCAUUCCAUGAACCUCCUCGGCUUCGAGCCUUCCGUUCGCAGGUUCGUAUCCCCUUCCCGAUUUUCGAGCACUUUCACAUUUUAAGCCUGUUUUUGAUGAUUUUAACGUAGGAAUUUCCCCAAAUUCACAUUUUCAUCAUUUUAAACCCUCCAAACUCAUAUUUUAUCCACAUAUUGAAGAUUUAGUACCUUUAAAUCAUAUAUUUUGUUCAAGGCAACACUUAAAGACUUGUUGACUUUUCCAUAAAGUUAUGACACCAAGCCAUCCCCACAUCAACUUUAUGUCACUAUUCACAUUCUACCUAGUCAAAUCAAUAUAUUUCUUUAACACUCCAUCAGAUUUUUCCUUGACCAAAUCCACUCAAUAGAUCUUUAUUCUUCACCUAUAAAACCUCAUUUGCUUCCUCCAAAAACAAACUUUCUCUCUCUCUCUCUCUCUCUCUCUCUCAAACUCAAAAUUCCGCAGGAAGUCUUGAGCUUUUCCUCCAUUCUUGGUAAGUUUCUCAUUCUACUCCAAAAUAUUCUACACUUCUUCAUACAACCCAUGGAUCAUUUACACAAAUAUUGACAUAUUUUUUCUUAGGAUCUUCAAAUCUUCAAGCAUCCUUCAAGUGUUUUUGACUUGAAACCCCCUUUCUUCAACCUUCCACCUAAGGGAAUCACUUAAGGUGAGUUCAUACCCCCUACAUUUUCAUGUUUUAUUCAUGUUUUAGGGGGUAUUGGGGGGGGGGGAUAUAAGUUACAACACCUAAAAUAUAUUCUAAACUUAACCAACAGCUUUCAACAGAAAAGUUAUGGUCUAUUCACGAACUGUUUUGACCAUCUUAAACUUAAUAUUUUUCAAAACUGUUUAAUAAAAAUUUAGUUCAGGUUUAUACCUUUCCAAUGUCUGCUUGCACAAGUUCAUACGAUUGUUCUACAAUUUAUGACAAUUUUUACAAAACUGACUAUCAUUUCAGAAAUAAUUUCGGACCAGCCUGUGAAGAUGGACAUCUUCACACUGGUUAGAGACCACUAAAAAUCAUAAUAAAAAUUGUGAAAAAACUAGACACGUUUUCUGAACUCCCAGAAUUUACAGAUUCAAUUUUUGACUUACAUAUAUUUUUAUAUGAUUUUUCUAAAAACAGUGACAGAAAAGUCAAAACUAGUAAAAUAGUUUAUAAAUUCAUUAACACUUUGUAACAUGUUGAGAAAAGUGAAUAACGAUAAAUAGCUAUAUACUGAUUUUAUUUCAUGUUAGUUUACUUCCAUGAAAUAGAAAUAUACAUUCACAUAAGGGUCCUUCAUCAUUACAAACACAUAGGAUAAAUUAUAAUAGGCUUAUGGUACAUUAACACUACGAACAUACUAAGUAAAGUUUCCUUUACACUACAAAAAAGGGUUUUUUCACUCAUACUACACGUAAACUCGUUGAAUCAAAUUUGUGAGGCUCUACUUCAUUAUACUCUUAGAGUACUGGUCAAAGUCCUAUAUAUCAUGUUCGUAUACAUAAAGACUAGAAGUCUACCCUUUCAUUCUGAGCGAUUAAUACGAGUAUAGUCAUGAGACAUACCUUUGAUUUAGUCAACUUUGAUAUAUUCAAUUACGCCUUUUAUCAUAUACAUCUUGUUUUUAUUUUGAAAUCUACUAUAAACAAGUGAUCCUUAUUUACAUUUUCUCUUUCGUUCUAAAUUCGGAAACUUGAUUUAAAAUGCAAGUUUCAUUGUAUUUUUCCUUAUAAUUAAUACACAAGAUGAAUACAUUUUUGCUUAUAAUUUUUCUAUAUCCAGAAAAUAUAUGUGAAGGAUAUGUUUCCUUAUGUUUCUUAUUUUCUUUAAAUACAUCAAAAGUUUUGAAUUUUACGAUUAUCUAUUCUCAAAAUGAUUGUUUUUGUAGAAACACUAAACUACGAAUGCACUAUUUUCAAAGAUUGACAUUUUUACACAUUUCUUAAAAUAGUAUUUUAAUUUGCAAUUGUCAGUGAGUUCCUAAACUCUCAAACUUGUUUCCAUAAAUAUUCUGACUCCUCAUAAACCUGUAUUUGUCUUGUUAAAAAAAAUUAUGCAAUUUUUCAAAAGAGUAAUCUAAAUAUUUUUUGUAUAAACUCCCUUAUUGAAGACAUAAACCUUUAACCUUGAUUAAUCUCCUUAUUAUUUUACUACUUCGUUUGAUCGUCACACAUGUAUCUUCAUUAUCUUGGAAUUAUUACACAUUUUGAUAACAGUGAGAUUUUUAUCACUUCUAAACACUUAAAAUGUUAUCUACACAAUGUAAUUUAAAAUAUCAUAAACUUUCACUGCCUUCAUUAGAAACAAUGACUCUCUAAUUAUAUAUAAUCUUCGAAUAUAGUUCUAUUAUUGUAAGAGUAACCGUAGUAAUAAUUAUAGCCUCGUAGAUCCUCAAUCAUUGUGUAAUUUAAUUUGUAGACGACACUUAAAUAGUCUUUACAUUUGAGAUAUACCAAAAUUUCAUUGCCUACCCUUAGUACGUAUUUUUAGGAACUUACCCUCGACCGCUUCCCUUUCAUUCGUGCUACCCCUUCUUAUUUCGAAAUAUAUCUUUUCCAGAUUUAGUAGCCAACCCAGAAGAGAACAAAUUGUUCCUAAUCUCUUCUUUAUCAUGCGACAAAUUUACACUUAGUGCCGAUUUAGAACGCGACUUAAGCAUCAAUGCGGACUUAACGCUGAAUGCAGUUGGUGCUUCGGCAAAAAUUAUAGCUCUCUUGGAUUCAAAUAAUAUCUAAUUAAAUAAUCUUUUCAACUAGGUCACCAUGGUUGGAUCAUGAUUUCCAUGAACCAAAUUUCCCACAAUAUAGACGAUAGAACUCGAAUUAGGGACGCACUAAUUUGAUUAUAACUGUCACACCCCAAAAACAGAACGGCGGAAACGUUCUGGGGCGGAGGACGUCAUGUAAUGUAUCACAACAAUGCAAAGUAGUAAACAAGCAACAACAUCGUCCAUUGCAUUAAUAGUAAUAGUUUAAUACAUGUGUGUUCUUUCAUAGUAAUAAGACAUUACAACAAGUAAUCAAAAUAAAAGACGAGUCUUGACUGCUCCGUCUUCGCAAAACCUGGUCAUCGUACCUGUCUACUGGUGACCUGAGAAUACAAGUUAUUUUGAAAGUGUAGGUUAGCAUUUAAGCUGGUGAGUUCAUAAGUAUUUAAUGUCAUCGUUUGUAUAAGUAUGAAGAAUACAUUUGGAAUUAAUUGUUUGUAUAAGUAUGAAGAAAACAUUUGGAAUUAUUCAAUGUAAUUGUUUGUAUAAGUAUGAAGAAAACAUUUGGAAUUAUUCAAUGUAAUUGUUUGUAUAAGUAUGAAGAAAACAUUUGGAAUUAUUCAAUGUAAUGGUUUGUAUAAGUAUGAAGAAAACAUUUGGAAUUAUUCAAUGUAAUUGUUUGUAUAAGUAUGAAGAAAACAUUUGGAAUUAUUCAAUGUAAUUGUUUGUAUAAAACUGAAUAAAAUGGUUUGUACAUGUUUGAAAGUUUCUAUAUAAAAUCCAUAUUUUCUACUAGUAUAAAAGUAGUCUUCUACCAAGACUCGACUGUUUUUAAUGUUUACCUUUAGAAAUCCAAUAUUUGUUCAUAAGUGUGUGGUAGUUUAAAAGUUCCAAAACUGAAAUGAAAUCGUGUUUUUCAUGCCUAGAGUAGUAGAUUUGUAUAAAUAUAAAAUCACUAAGGCAUUUGAUAACCCCGUAAACCAACGUGUUUCUAAUACUCAAUGUGAGUUUUAUAACCAUACUAAUGACCCAGACUGCCUGUAACAACGUUCUUCAGGCGUUGGAAUGUUAUAACGUUUGUCACCCCAGGCCUGUCGGCCUAGCUGUAGCUAACAGCUUAGGUGCAGGAUUGUCAAUCCCGUAUAGAUCUAUACACAAGUAUCAUGCUCCCCCUACAAGGGAUUAUGGUAUAUAAUACAGGACUUAAAAUGCAUACUCGAAAGUACGUGAAAUAUCUCACAAAACUUAGUAUAAAACAUAUUUACAUAUGAAAAUGUCCAUUUGUUCUUGUAUAUGAAAGUAUUUCCUUGAUAUAGUAUUCAUUAGUAUGUAAAUGUUCUUGAUUUUCUCGUAAACUAUACCCAUUAUAGUUUUUCAUAAUGUGUGUGUUUCGUUCAUAUAGUAAACCCUAGUGUAAUGCUCACUUGUUAUGUAAAGUAUAACAUUUAAAGUGACAUAAAUGAUCACAUAUACUUAAAGUAUAAAUAAAGUGUUUGAUUCAUAUAUACAUAUAUAAACAUGUUUUAUUUCCAAAAAGGCAAGAUGUUAUCGAGAAUAUAUAUANAUUCGACACAUCUUGAUCCAUUCUUGUGUUAUUUACUGUUUUUAUAUUCAUCGCAUUACCUGUUACGAAUAUCUAAUCGAUCAUCAAGUUUAAUUUUAGCUUAUCAAACUGUGUGUUUACUUGUAUUUCCCCCCCUUAAAAGUGUAUAAAAAGCAUUGAUAAAACAUUUGAAAGUGUAGUUUAUAGGGGUAUGAACUCACUUGAUAGAUCGAAGAAAGCGAGAUGAUAAUCGAGCAGAACCUCGACUUGGAAAAGUAGAUUUUCUCGGGAAUCUCGGGAACACAAAACCUUCCUUCGGAACUUGAAGGUGAAAACCGGGGCUUCGGGAGGGUCUCGGCGGCUUAAACGCAGAGUUUCGGUGCGAGAAAGAAGGGAACUGAGCAAUGAAACCCGGAGCCCUUCAAAUCUAUUUAUAGGGCCAUUUUUUGAGUGCCACGUCGUGGCAGAGGGUGUGACACGUCGUGGUGAGUCAGCCUUAUCCUCUUCUAUUGAUUGGACGCUCUCAGUCACUGACCGAGUCGCGGCGAACUGUGCCACGUCAUGGCUGACCUGACAGCCUCGGAUUUUGGGCCUCGAACUUGUAAAAUCCGUAACUUUUGCAUACGAGCUCCAUUUUUGACGUUCUUUAUAUGAACGCGUAGGUGAGAAUAUAAUCUACAACUCUCAUUUAGACUUCAUCGGCUAAUUUUGGCUUUAUUUUUAAUUAUUUAUUUUUAACGGGCCGGGACACGAAAAAUCCGUUAAAAAUCCAUAACUUCUUCAUCCGAUGUCCGUUUUCGUCAGACUUUUUACCGUUGCACUAAUAUUUUUGAGACCUUCAAUUCUCAUUUAGGUUGUUUCGGCCAAAAGUCUCUCGAUCUCUAUUUCGAGUUUUUAGCUGUUUACUGCUAUAUCCAGAUCUUGGAAAAAUCAUAACUUCCUCAUAUGAAGUCAGAUUUGGACGUUCUUUUUACGUAUGUUUACGGUUUAAUGUUAUCUACAACUUUCAUUUAGAUACUUAAGGCCAAAAACUAUUGUGUUGAAACUUCGUGUUUUUCGUUUAAUCGGUGUUGCCGAGAAUCUUAGAAUGGUCAUAACUUCUUCGUUAUAACUCGGAUUUUAGUGUUCUUAGUAUUUCUAUAAACCUUGACACAAUAUCCAACAUAAUAGAUAUUCCUAUAAAGACUUUUUCACAUUUAUUUUUCGAAGUUAAUUUCAUUAUAUCAAAAGUGGUUACAAUACUAGACUUUUUAGGUCAUUACAUAGAGUCGAAAUAUCGGGUUGUCACAUCAUCCCCCCGUUAGAGGGAAUUUCGUCCCGAAAUUUAAUGUAAGGUAAUGAUUUGUGGACUAGGGAAACAAAUGAGGGUAUUUUUGUUUUAUCUGAUCUUCGCAUUCCCAUGUGUAUUCAGGUCCUCACUUUGCAUUCCAGCGGACCUUCACGAUGGGUAUGCGACUUUGUUUUGUUCUUUUAAUUUCCCUAUCUAUGACUUCAAUUGGAUCCUCUAUAAAGUGGAGACUCUUGUUGAUUUCGAUUUCAUCUAGAGGGACGACGAGGGUCUCAUCGGACAAACUUUUCCUCAAGUUUGACACAUGAAAGGUAGGGUGUACGUUAUUGAGUUCCUGCGGUAGACGAAGUUUGUAGGCUACCGAGCCGAUCCUUGCAAGGAUCUCGAAUGGUCCAAUUUAUCUUGGGUUUAGUUUCCCAUGUUUUCCGGAACGUAUUAACCCUUUCCAGGGCAAGACCUUUAAUAGCACUCAGUCCCCGACCUGAAAUUCCAAGGGCUUCCGUCUUUUGUCCGCAUAACUCUUCUUGGUCGAAUGUAUGUUGAAUGUUUUUGUGGUCUGUGAACAUAGUACGCCUUGUACCCUACAAGUAGUGUCUCCAGAUCUUCAGAGCAAUUACCGCUGCUCAUGACUCAAGAUCACGUGUUGAAUAGUUAACUUCCUGUGUCUUAAGCUGUCUUGAGGUAUAGGCAGUGACCUUUCCUCUUGCUUAAGAACAAAACCAAGUCCUUAGUUGGAUGCAUCGCAUUACACCAUGAAAUAUUCUAUCCCUUUUGGGAGGGAUAAUAUUGGUGCGAUGCAUCAGGCUUACUUUAGCGUUUGGAACGCUCUUUCUCGUUUACAGACAAGUCCGGUGCUCCCCAAGGUGAGAAACUUGGCCUAAAGAAUCCCCUUCUGAGGAGUUUGUUAAGCUCACUAGGAAGUUCUUGCAUCUCAGUUGGAGCUAGACGAUAAGGUGAUUUGGCUACUGGGGUAGCCCCUGGAACUAAGUCAAUUCUGAAUUCGACUUGACGUUGUGAUGGUAGUCUCGGUAGUCCUUCUGGAAAGGUGUUGGGAAAGGCGCGUACUUCUUGGAGGUUCUGAAUUUCCUUCACUUCUCGGCACGUCUCGACGAUGUGUGCAAGGAAUACAUGAUAUCCCUUUCGUAAGCACUUCUAAUUUUGCAUACACGAAAUGAUGAGAAGGUUCGUACUUGGUUCGUUGCUAUAAAUAACUAGAGCUUCGUUGUUUAGGGAGGUUACGACGAACUUCUUUAUCAAAGCACCUGAUGUCGGCUCGAUGUAGACUUAACCAACUCCUACUGAUUAUGAUGUCAAAACCUUGGGGUGGAUUAGAUGUCGUGAAGAUCUAAAAGAAAGUAUUACUACUCACGAACUAGGGAAAAGGAUAGGUAUUUCUGUAACAUCCCGAAAUAUCAAGAGUAGAGUUGAAGGGCUAAAAGGGUAAGUUGUGAAAGAGUGACUCGGCGAGUCCAGGGAUGGACUCGGCGAGUAGAGUCGCGACUGGGUCGCGUGUUAAGUAGCCGACUCGACGAGUCAGUAAGGGGGACUCGGCGAGUAGGCGCUGAGUGGAGAAAACCCUAAUUCCCGGGGUUGAGCCCUAUAUAAGGAACAUAUCAGCCCACUCUCAGCCUCUUUAUUCAUCCCCAAAUCCAGAAACCCUUAGCCUUCGUGUGUGAGUGAUCAUAUCUCAUUUGGGAGCUUGAAGGAGAUGAUUAUUGAAGGGAUUUUGGGAGAUUGAAGGCUUGGAGCAAGGGGCUUUGCCUGGAUUCGAAUUACAUUGCAGUUGGGGCGUCCCUUGGAGGUAAUAUCUCGUUCUUGGACUGUUGAUAUGUUGUUUCUUCAUUUUGGGGUUUGUGGGAACUUGUCUAUGGAUGUAAUUGGAAGUCUAGAGGUUAGAUCUGAGGUUGCUACCUCAGAUCUGGAAGGGAGAAGAAUCAGAGAGCAUGAAAGUCCCUGUGUUGGAGUGUUUAGUGAAGCUUACAUGUCCCAAACCCUAAACCAAUGUGCAAAUAGCCUAGAUCUCUUUGGAUUCACGUAAAGUUUGCCACUUUACGUGAUGGAUGAGUGGUAGGAGACUAGAUCUAUGUUUUGGAGCAAUUGCAUGGCCUGGAAUGCUUCUGAAUGGAUUCAGCCCGGUGGUACUCGGCGAGUCACAUGGGUGUACUCGACGAGUUGCUUGAAGAUGAGCUGGGACUCGGCGAGUUGGAAGAACAACUCGGCGAGUUGGAUGAAGAUGGCCUGGAACUCGGCGAGUUGUAUGAACAACUCGGCGAGUAGGUUGAUGAUAGCCUUAGACUCGGCGAGUCUGUUCUUGGACUCGGCGAGUCUUGUCGAAGAGUCCCGAUAUUCUCUGGUUGAGUCGAGAAUCGGUGAGUCAAGGGAUGACUCGGUGAGUUGUGUGCGAGUGGACUCAGAGUUGUUGGACUCGGCGAGUCUCGGGGUGACUCGGCGAGUUAGGUCGCGGAUUGAGUGAAGUUCUGAUUAUGGGAACUCGGCGAGUCAUAGGGUUGACUCGGCGAGUAGGGUCAGUCAGGGGUUGACUUUGACUGAGGACUUUGAUUUUGACCAAGGGUUGACCGUUGACUUUUAGGGUUUGGUCAGCGAUGUGGCCUUUGGGCCAAGAGAGGGGUAAAAUAGUCUUUUACCCUUAAGAGGGUGCCAUGAGAGGGUUGAUUCUAGUCUCGAGAGUUAUAGUCAUGAGAGUAUUUGCCUUACGUGUUAGGCGGUGGCGAGUUCGAGAUUCAAGUGUGGAGAUAUCUGCUUUCUGCUUGCCAGGUGAGUCUCCUCACUAUACUUUACCUUGAGUAGGUAACCAGAGUUAUGUGACAGAGUAUUUGUAUGCUAUGUAUGUUAUGUGUUGUACUGCAUUAUUUCUAUGUGAUUUAUGUUGUGCAUGUUUACAGAGUUGGAACCGGAGGGUUCCUGGAGUUAGAACCGGAAGGUUCACAGAGUUAGAACCUGAGGGUUCACAGAGUUUGGGUGCACGGACCCAUAGAGUUAUAGCCUCGAGUGGCUAGUAUGUGUUAUGUGUGUGGUACUUUGGGGAACUCACUAAGCUUCGUGCUUACAGUGUUUUGUGUGAUGUUUUUCAGGUUCUUUCAGUAUCACGGGACGGCACCGGCUUGAUUGUACACACCAGAGAAAGAGUCAUGUUUUGGAGGAUCCUGGUUUUCUAUGCAAGUGAAAAUGGAGUUAUGUUUUGUAAUUCGAUUAUGAAUGAGAUUUUUAAACACGUGUUUCUAAGAAUAAAAUGAUUAUUCUAAAUGAAAAAUUGUUUUGAAAUUUUCGGUGUUACAAUUUCUAAGUUUAUUCUCACGGAAGCACGAUCACUCUCAGUCUUGGGCUGUCUCCGUCCUGAAGUUCAUAGUAGAACCCAUACCAGGUUCAUCAAUCACAGUCUCGGGUAUACGAGUCGUAUAUAAUUAAAAUUGAAAUUGUGGGUCUUUGGAUUGAACUUGACGUACUACACGAGUGGUACUUCGGGGAAGUUUGCUGAGGUUGCUUUGGAAAGGGUAAGAAACAUGAGGUACUCUACGCAUGAGUACUUCGGAGUUCUGAAGUGAUAGUUUCAUUAGAAAGAUGGUUUCGGAGAAAGAGAUUUACGCACAAAACUGGUAUUGUGAGGAUUAAAUAGACUCUGAUCGUAUGAUGAAAUCGGAAUCACGUGGAAAUAAGGCACUAGAUUUGAUCAUAACGGUGUUACAGACAAAACACAAUAAUGCAACUUUUAACAGAGUUAUCGUAAUAUAGGUUUACUACAAGACUAAUGCUGUGAACUAGGUAUACUACGAAAGACAAGUAUACGCAACACGAGGGUCCCUUAACUGAUGGGUCCUUACAAAAGAUAAGAUUCGAGUUGCACUAGUUUUAAAUAGUUUAUGAGUCUAUUACAAUGAACACCUUAGAUACUUUAACGAGGGUCCGAAGUAGUUUCUCCUGCGGCAGUAAUCCUUAGUAUCUUCCCGUCUAUGCCGGAGUUCUUUGUUAUUGGACAGUCCUUUUUGAGGUGUCAUAUAUUGCCGCAUUGGUGACAUACCUGGUUCGUACUAGUAUUGGUGGUGGGAGUGAGGUGUUUAGUCAAAGUUAAAUGGACACGGGUGCCUUCCUCAUUACUCCACUUUGAAAAUUUCCUCUUAAAGAGUCCGGCUUUAUCACUACUUUUGUGUGUAGGGUUGGUCCCGAUGCCAGGGACUGGAGGAAUGGGUCAUGUCGGUGCUGAAGGGGCAGGAGUUGCCACUUGCUUCUGUUGCAUGGCAAGUCUUUGGAAUCGCUUUCACUCAUUUCUGGCUUGGCGAUAUCGUCUCCUCCUUUCGGUGUUACGGCUUCGGAAGUCCGUGACUGUUGUCAUUUCUUGACUUCCCGGAUUGGUACUACAAUCGGAACUCUCGACUCCUUUGUCAGUCUUGUUUGUGUUACCGGAGUUGAUGUGUGUAAGGAAAGUUGUCACAGCAGCUGCUAUUGCAGCUCGUAACGUAGCGGAGUCGAUAUGGAGGAUAGGGGUUUUGUUGCUCGGCUGAUUGUUUCCGGACGACGACAUGAUUCUGUAACACGAAAGAUAAGGAUUUUGUGAGCGAUUUUGGUUGACCCUAAAUGUACUUCAAUCGCUUAAGUAAAGAGUAUGAGUAUGUUCUCGAAAGUUUGACCUACAUCCCUAUGAUGCGGUCCUAGUACGGAAUUGAAGUAUGUUCACGAAGGUCCGACCUACAUCCCUAUGAUGUAGUCCUUAGUAAGGAGUAGAAGUAAGCUCGUAGAAUGGUCUCAAGACAUUUGUUGUUCAAGCCGAGGUAUCGUUGGUUGGUGAAUAACAUGAUCCAACCACUAAAAAAGACUUGAAAAUGUCUCCGGAGUUAAAUUACUAUUGUCCAAUGUCUUGACUAAAGCAUGUUUCAGAUAGACUCCAAUGAAAGUAUGAUGAGAGUAUUUGAACAAAGAGUGACAUGGAAGUUAGCCGGCUGUCAAUAUCAUUGAUGUUUAAGAUGUAAUAAGUCUAGGAAAAUUUAUGACCUUAUAGAAGGCCUUACAUCAUAUCCUGAGUAACAAAGUUUUGGCCGCAUAAAGGCCUAACUAAAAGUACCUACAGUACAAGGCAGUUCCAUAGAAAAUGCCACAUAGGACAUAGACAGGAACACGGUUCUUUAAAACAAGAAGAAAAGUAAAGUAUCUCCUACUGGUGACGAUAAUCCCUCUGGUGAAUUCUCAGUUCAGCCAGUUGGCGUUCCAUAUCAAGUAGGUGUCUUUUGUACACCCUCUGGCGUACUCGGAGCUCUAUAAAUUUGGCUCGUGAUUCAGCCAGUGCAUGAAGCAUGGCUUCAUGGGCUCUCUCAGAUCUCUCACGAGCCUCUUCCAGACGAAUGGUGCGGAGGGUAUGCAUUCUCGCAUUGGUGAAAACUUCUAUGAUUUGAUGUAGGGCUGUCCUGCCUUGAAUCUCAUUUCGAGCCACUCUACGGACCAGGAUUGACAAGAUUCUGUCUGCUGAGCCCCCAUUGCUCAGGUCAUAAAAGCUUUGGUCACCAUUAAAUGGCAUGGGCUGAUCUUGUCCUUGGCUCCAUGUUUCCAGCAUUCUACCCAAGGAGGUGUCGGGCCAUGAAAAGUCGGACGAGGGUUAGGAUUUGGAAAGGGAGCUACAUGGGGUAGGUUCUCAACCUCGGGUUCAGAGUUGUCAUCAUCCGCGAGGUCUUAAUCGUGGUGAUCAUUCAAAGGAAUAGGAUGAUCAUUCUCUGGUCCUUCUCCAAACCAUCCAGCAAUGACUUCGUUCGGGAAGUAUGGUUGCCGUGGGGAUGGAGUUAACCAUGUUAUCUGUGCGAGAAUUGGGGUAAGGAAAUAAUUAUUAGAUGAACUAUCUAGAUAAUUAUUAGAAAAUCUUCAUUAGUUACAUCACUAUUUGUAAAGUGCAUACCAGUCAUAUGUAAUCAACACAGGACAAGCUUUCGAAUAAGUGACAUUAACUCCAAAUUCACUAGGAAUAGGGGUAAAGCAAAAAUUUCACCGAUUCUAAGUCUAUAACAUCCUAGUUACAUAUAGACUUAGUGUAUCCACUUAGUAACUAUCAACUUAGUAAUGAAGAUCCUUUUUAGUUCUCAUGUAAGUAAUUAUGGUAACACAAAACACCCCUAUGGUAUUUUAGACUUAGGUUCUGUUAUAAUGUUCUUAUUGUGGUAAUGUUGGUAAGUUUUUAGACUUUUUGCCAUAUCACAACCAUUCUUGGGCAAAUGCUAAUCACUCCUCGGACCAGUAUAGUUGAUCAGGCUAUGCCAUUCCCAAGACUGACCAUACAUCCCCAAGCUUACUUGUGAUAUUCAACAAUCAUCAUACUUUUGUUCUUGUCAUUGUGACACUGAUUUUAGUAUGAAUGCAGGCACGUAUACUUAAUUAAAUAUUUUAUUAUUUAAAAGUAUAAACUCUUGGUCAGAGUAUUUUAAUCCCAUUGUAUUUAUAGUUAGUAUAUCUUUUAUGGGUUGAGAUACUCAAUUCACUAUAAACAAUGCUCUGAUACCAAUCUGUCACACCCCAAAACCGGAACGGCGGAAACGUUCUGGGGCGGAGGACGUUAUGUAAUGUAUCACAACAAUGCAAAGUAGUAAACAAGCAACAACAUAGUCCAUUGCAUUAAUAGUAGUAGUUUAAUACAUGUGUGUUCUUUCAUAGUAAUAAUACAUUACAACAAGUAAUCAAAAUAAAAGACGAGUCUUGACUGCUCCGUCUUCGCAAAACCUGGUCAUUGUACCUGUCUACUGGUGACCUGAGAAUACAAGUUAUUUUGAAAGUGUAGGUCAACAUUUAAGCUGGUGAGUUCAUAAGUAUUUAAUGUCAUCGUUUGUAUAAGUAUGAAGAAUACAUUUGGAAUUAUUCAAUGUAAUUGUUUGUAUAAGUAUGAAGAAAACAUUUGGAAGUAUUCAAUGUAAUUGUUUGUAUAAGUAUGAAGAAAACAUUUGGAAUUAUUCAAUGUAAUUGUUUGUAUAAGUAUGAAGAAAAAAUUUUGAAUUAUUCAAUGUAAUGGUUUGUAUAAGUAUGAAGAAAACAUUUGGAAUUAUUCAAUGUAAUGGUUUGUAUAAGUAUGAAGAAAACAUUUAGAAUUAUUCAAUGUAAUUGUUUGUAUAAAACUGAAUAAAAUGGUUUGUACAUGUUUGAAAGUUUCUAUAAAAUCCCAUAUUUUCUACUAGUAUAAAAGUAGUCUUCUACCAAGUCUCGACUGUUUUUAAUGUUUACCUUUAAAAAUCCAAUAUCUGUUCAUAAGUGUGUGGUAGUUUAGAAGUUCCAAAACUGAAAUGAAAUCGUGUUUUUCAUGCCUAGAGUAGUAGAUUUGUAUAAAUAUAAAAUCACUAAGGCAUUUGAUAACCCUAUAAACCAACGUGUUUCUAAUACUCCAUGUGAGUUUUAUAACCAUACUAAUGACCCAGACUCCCUAUAACAACAUUCUUCAGGCGUUGGAAUGUUAUGACGUUUGUCAUCCCAGGCCUGUUGGCCUAGCUGUAGCUAACAACUUAGGUGCGGGAUUGUCAAUCCCGUAUAGAUCUAUACACAAGUAUCACGCUCCCCCUACAAGGGAUUAUGGUAUAUAAUACAGGACUUAAAAUGCAUACUCGAAAGUACGUGAAAUGUCUCACAAAACUUAGUAUAAAACAGAUUUAUGUAUGAAAAUGUCCAUUUGUUCUUGUAUAUGAAAGUAUUUCCUUGAUAUAGUAUUCGUUAGUAAGUAAAUGUUCAUGAUUUUCUCGUAAACUAUACCCAUUAUAGCUUUUCAAAAUGUGUGUGUUUCGUUCAUAUAGUAAACCCUAGUGUAGUGCUCACUUGUUAUGUAAAGUAUAACAUUUAAAGUGACAUAAAUGAUCACAUAUACUUAAAGUAUAAAUAAAGUGUUUGAUUUGUAUAUACAUAUAUAAACAUGUUUUAUUUCCAAAAAGGCAAGAUGUUAUCGAGAAUAUAUAUAGCAUACGAAAGUUCCUAUGUAGUAGUUAUGAAUCACAUAUGAUUCACUUGAUAGAAAAGAGUAUAUAGUGAAACUUUAUGUUACACACGAUAAUAACCGUGUUGGGUCGUAUUUUGUAUUUUGUGUUGCGUAUAUUGGGCUCGUUAGCUAGCCCAAUAUGUAUCUCCGGUAUGGGCCUGUCCAUCCGUGAGUUUUGUAGGGUUAAGUAUAAAUAGGUGAUUGCAUGCAUCUUAGAAGAGGAUCUGAGAUUUAUUAUUCAGCAAGUUUAUCGUUCUUGUAACCCUAGAAUCCUCUACAGCGGAAGUUCUUUGUCGAGCUCUGCUGAGGAUUGAUAAAUCUAAUCAUUUGACACAUCUUGAUCCAUUCUUGUGUUAUUUACUGUUUUUAUAUUCAUCACAUUACCUGUUACGAAGAUCUAAUCGAUCAUCAAGUUUAAUUUUAGCUUAUCAAUUGGUAUCAGAGCAGGAGGUUGUGUAAUUCAUACACAUCUUUUAUGUGAAAGAGGUUGCGAUUAGGGUUAUUCCGCAUUAACUAAUAUUUAUUGAGCCGUCAUCCCAUAAUUGACGUAACUCAUCAUUUAUUUGUUUUGACCUAUUUUUAUAUAUUACAAGUCUGAUCUUUCAAACAGGUUAUACGAUCAAGCAUGGACGAGUCACAAUCAAAUCCGAUCAACAUCUCAAACAACAUUGGAUCAACGACGAAGAUUCCCAUUCUUUACACCCAGGAUUAUGAAGUCUGGGCACAUCACUUCGAAGAUUAUGUCAUUAGAUCUGAAGACAAUGGAUAUCUUAUUUGGGAAGCAAUCGUAUCUGGACCAUUCGCUCAUUCAGCAACGUCAAAAAUCAUUAAAACUCAAAAAGAGUAUAAUGAUCUGUUAAAGGACGUAAAAGAUAUUGCUCAAGACGAAAAAGGAUAAGUUUCAGUGCAAUAUUAAAGCAUUGAGACUGAUUCGAUUCGCUCUUCAAUCCGAUACAUUCAGGCUAGUGAGUUCAUGCAGCACUGCUAAAGAAAUAUGGGAUAGGCUGUGAGAGCUAUAUUCCACAGAAGAAGAUCUGGAGCAUUCCAUUCAGACCUUACUUUUGUCCAAAUUUGGUGAAUUUAAGCAGAAUCCCGAGGAAACCGUUACUCAGACGUUUGAUCGCUUCAAUCAUCUUUUUAGUAAGAUGAUCAAACACGAUAUAGAAAGGAAGUUGAUUGAACAAAAAGUUAUGUUUUUGAAUGGUCUUAGAUCUGAGUGGAGAGAAGUUGUGUCCACUGUUAAAGCUCAUGAGCAAUUCAAAUCUUAUUCAUUGGCAAAGCUGGUAGGGAUUUUGAAAUCCCAAGAAAAGAUUGUCUUGCAGGAGAAAAAUGUGGUUUCAAGCUUGGGAUCAUUGGCCCUUCUGUCUAAAAGAAAAAGUGUGGUGGAAGAUGAAGACCUUAACUUAGAAGACUAUGACCUUACCUCUGAAGAUUAUGCAAUGAUGGUGUCAAACCCAAAGAGUUUCAUUAAGAAAAGGUUUCCUACCAAUAAGAACCGAAAUUGGCAAGGAAGUUAUAGUUCUAAAAAAGUUAGGGAAGAACCAAAGGCAGAAGAACCAAAGAAAGAGGCGAAAGCUGAAGGAGAUUCGGGUGUGAACUACUACUACUGUGGAGGAAAGAACCACUAUGCCAAAGACUGUGUCCUAAAGAAAAUGGCAGAAAAGGAUGAAGAGAAAGAUGAGGAAGCUGUGUUGAUGAAAAAGCUAGAAGAGAUCAAGAGAAAGAAAGUUGCCACUAACCCUUCAAUGAAUGAUUUAAUUGUGCAGGGUUCAGUAGCGGAUGACGAGUUCGGUGGCGUGGAGGUCUGGUCAACCGACUCUGAGGAUGAUGAAGUCAAGAAGCCAUCUCAUGGAAAGGCUUAUGUUGCGAAAGGUGAAGAAAGCGGUGGAAAGUGUUUGAUGGUGACGGAUGUAUCUCAAAUGAGGGGAUACAACACAGACGGUGGAAAUGAAGACACGAAGGAAUGAGAGGACUUGUGCUUCACAACAAAACCUCUCAGCGUGCAGUUUAAUGAGCUUGAUGAAUUAAUCAAGAAGGUACAAUCUGUUUUUGUUUCAUUCAAAGUCCCACAAAAUUCAUAUGAAAAAGAAUUAAAAAGCGUAGAUUCAAGAAUCUCAUAUCUUGACAGCUGUUUAACUCAAACAUGGGUCACCAAUUCUAACCUAACUGACCAAAUAAGCAGGGUGUCUUCAAAGAGUGAGGAACGGAGGAUGUGGAUAGAGCUGAAGGAGUCAGAGUUGAUCAAAUCCAAGGACGAAAACAUUUAUUUACAAAGAGACAAUUUGAAACUUUUGAAACAAAGAAAUGUUUUUUGUUUAAUUGCUAAGCAUCUUUAUUCUAACAUCACUCAACUUCAUUUGAACUGUGAAAUAGGGCAGAAAAUUCAUCGCAUGAUUUUGCCCUUCCUUGAGUUUAAGGAGGAUGAAAUUGACGCUGAAGCAUAUAAUUGCGAAAGUGUAGUUUCGUCUGAUGAUGUGAAUCCGACUUAUAUGUAUGGUCUAGACAAAAUCGAAUCUUUUAUAAAGUCCAAGGACCAUAAGGACAUGCUGAAAAACCUUUUGGAUGAAAAUGAUAAACUGAAACUAAGGACCGAAACCAUACAAAAAUUUGACUCUUUGAAUGCCAACUUGAGCUCAGAAAAUAAAAUUGAUGUUGAAAACGCAUCUGAGCUUAAUGAGGAUGAUGAUAUGAGUGAAAUUUCUGUAGAGGAUGAAGUUGACUGUUCUGAGUUUGUCAAGAGCGAACCCGAAAACCACAAAAAUCUUAUUUCAGAAAAUUCUGUGGAGUUUGCUCAUUUGUCCCAAAAUAAGUCCCCGAUUCUUGAAGAAAAGGCUGUUGUGUACCAAAAGGUGAGAACAACACCAAAUCAGGUGUAUAAGGUCACAGGAGUAACCGAACAUCAGACAGCCGAACUCACAGCCAUUGUAAAUGAAGAUAAUGCUGAUGGUUGUGAUGAGUUCUUCUGGUCUGCCCCUAUAGAUAAUGCUGACGAAACCGUUGGUCUGUCAGAGCGGACGUCCUGGAAAACCAAAGCCAGAUAUGUACCAGAGCCACUAAACAAGCCUGACAACUUCGACGUGCCAAGUACUAGUGGUACAAAAGAAGUUCCUGAAGAAAAAGGAGUUCCUGCAGAAGAAGUCACUCCUUCAAGCGAAACAUCAUCAGUUCAAAGUGAACCGGCUGACAAGAAGCAAAAGCAAAAAGCCAAUAUCCAUCGACAGCCGAAGCAAGUGAAGGAUCAAAAACAGCAAAGGAAUCAGAGAUACAAGAAAAAUCUCUCUGAACGAAAACAUUUUUGGCGAUCUCAAAACGCCCAUUUCUCUUAUCAUGACAGAAAUUCAAAGUCAGAGAAAAGUGCUGUUAGGCAGCAAGAAAGUAAUAAUAACCGAAAGGAAAGGUUCGGUUCUGAGGAUCAUAACAACCGAAGGGAAAGGUUCGGUUCAGAGAACACCAGCUACCGAAAGCAUAAGUUCGGUUCCAAGAGCAAAAGCGACCAAAGUUCGAGAUUCGGUCCCACAAAUGACCAAAAACAAAAGUGUCACUCAGGACCUCAAGUCAAUAAAACUUCUCAGUCUAACUUCUCUCGUUCUAAUUCUUCUAAUUCCUCUCAACCUCAUUCUAAAUCCAAUUCUGUUCAUACUCAAAAUCCAAAAUCUUCAACAGAUUUGAAAGGAAAAUCGAAGGUUUCCUCAGUCAAGACUGAUCAAAAUCAUUCCAAAGUCCAAAUGCCUAAACCUGAAUCCAAACCGACUGUAACAAAUCUCAACAAAAUUAAGGUUUUCACCAUUAAAAAGAAAGAUGAAACAACUUUAAUAAAAAGAACAUAUCUUGUUGACAUCUCUCUUACUAUUCCUGUUCCUGUGAAAGGCUCACGUGGACCCAAGAAACUUUGGGUUCCUAAAUCUGCUUAAUUUUUGCAGGUUAUCAGUGACGAGCAGUUUGACGAAGAAUGGUAUAUUGACAGUGGCUGCUCACGUCACAUGACAGGAAGGAAGGAAGAGCUGAGGGAAUUUCGGUCUCUUUCAAACGGUGGAAAUGUCAAGUUCGGGAACAACUCAUUCGGCACGAUAAAAGGUUAUGGAAUGAUAACAAAUGGAGAUUUCACGAUUAGAAAGGUUGCAUACGUUGAAGGACUACAGCACAACCUCAUCAGUGUAUCUCAGCUCGUUGGAGGUACCGGUCUCAAGGUCUCAUUCGACGAUGAGGGUUCGGAAAUAAUAGAGAAGAAAACAAAAAGAGUGAUUCUCAAAUCGGAGCGCAAAGGCGAAAUGUUUCCUCUUAAUCUCAAACCUAUCAAAGGAAAUCCAGUUAUCUGCCUUUUGUCCAAAGCACAAUCUGACGAAAGCUGGCUGUGGCACCGAAGGCUCUCUCAUCUCAACUUCAAGGAUAUCAACAAACUUGUCACAGGAGGUCAUGUUAGAGGUCUUCCGUUGCUCAAGUUCGAUCGCGAACAUUUAUGUGCUGCGUGUGAAAUGGGGAAGCAGAGUCAUCAAAGUCACCCAUCCAUCAUAAACACUAAAGUCGUUGAACCACUUGAGUUGAUUCACAUUGACUUGUGUGGUCCAUCGUCUAUCGAAAGCAUUGGUGGUAGCAAGUAUAUUCUUGUUAUUGUUGAUGACUUUUCACGUUUUACAUGGGUGUUCUUUCUGAAGCACAAAUCUGAAGCAACUCUCAAGCUAAAGAUGUUCAUCAAGCAAGUUGAAGUGCAACUGAGGAAAGUCGUUCGCAACAUCAGAAGCGACAAUGGGCUGGAGUUCAAAAAUAAAGAAUUCGAAGACUUCUUGGCAGAAAAAGGAACCAGUCACAACUUCUCAGCUCCCUACACCCCUCAACAAAAUGGGAUUGUCGAAAGACGAAACCGAUCUUUGUGUGAGGCGGCCCGAACCAUGCUAAGUUUUGCUUCUUUACCUUUAUAUUUUUGGGUUGAUGCUGUUGCUGCAUCAUGUUUUACACAGAACAGGUCCUAUCUCAAUAAGCGCUUUACUCUCACUCCUUAUGAGAUUAUCAACAACAGGAAGCCAAACGUCAAAUUCUUCCAUGUAUUCGGCUCACGGUGCUUCAUCUUCAACUCUAAAGAACAUCGUAACAAGUUCGACGUCAAAGCCGAUGAAGGGAUUUUCCUGGGAUAUUCUCUCACUUCGAAAGCCUACCGGGUGUUAAACAAGCGUUCAAGGAAGAUUGAAGAAACUUAUUAUGUGACGUUUGAUGAUAGCUAUGUCAAAAAGUUGAAGGCCACUGAAGAGACAGUUGGAGAAAUUUUCUCUCAAACAGGCCAUGUCACAGCCUCGAUUGCAAAUCUGUUUGAGCAGUUGUAGAGUUAUNAACCAGAGAAGGCUACUCUCUCGGAAGCUAAUGCAGCAGACAACAAAGUAGAUCAUCUGAAGCAACUCGUCGAAGAUGCCGCCAAACAAAUGAAUGAAGGAGGAUCAAUUCCAAACGAACUUCCACAGCACGGUGCUUCAGUUGAUGGGGAGAAUCCAUCUUCUUCAACACAGCCGAGCUCACAUGUUGAGGAGGAGAACUGCUCUCUAGCUGCACCCGAAAGCCCAGCUGUACGCGAAAGCCAAUUUGCACCCGAAAGUCCUAUAGUACCCGAAAGUUCAACUGCACCCGAAGGUACUGCAACACCCGAAAGCUCGACACCACCCGAAACUCCUGUAGCUCCAGAAAGUCAAGAUACACCUGAAAGCUUAUCUGUCGAGGGGGAGAAUGCCGAUAUGUUUUAUGACGAUGAUAGUCAAUCUGAACUAGAAGAGAUGGUAAAUGCUGAAUUGGAUCCAUCCUAUGAUCCAAAUUACCCUCCUCUUGUCAAAUGGACCAGAGAUCAUCCUGUUUCACAGGUUUUCGGUAAUGUCUCUGAAAAGGUCCUGACCCGAUCUCAACUGAAGGCAAAGCAAACUUCCUUAUUUUCAAAAGUAGAGUUCUGUAUGUUUAACUCCUUCGUCUCAAAAGUUGAACCAAAGACAGUCAACACUGCUCUUGAUCACUCCGAUUGGGUUCAAGCUAUGCAAGACGAACUUAAUGAGUUCGAAAGAAAUAAAGUUUGGCGCCUCAUUCCAACUCCUCAAGAUGCCUCGGUUGUUGGUCUCAAAUGGGUCUUUAGAAAUAAAAUGGACAAGGAAGGCAAUGUGAUAAGAAACAAAGCUCGUCUAGUGGUGAAAGGAUACUGCCAGGAGGAAGGAAUCGACUAUGAGGAAACUUUUACUCCUAUAGCUAGGCUGGAAUCCGUUAGAAUAUUUCUUGCCUAUGCUGCACACAAGAACUUUGAGGUCUUCCAAAUGGAUGUAAAAUGCACAUUUCUCAAUGGAGAACUUGAAGAAACGGUGUACGUGGAGCAACCUUCUGGAUUCGUCAAUGAAAAAUACCCCAAUCACUGUUAUAUUCUGGACAAAGUAGUAUAUGGACUGAAACAAGCACCGAGGGCCUGGUAUGAAACGCUAACCAAGUUUUUAAAGAUGUCCAAAUUCAAACAAGGUUCGGUUGACCCAACCUUCUUUCGUAAGAAGGAAGGUAACCACCUUAUGAUUGUUCAAAUCUAUGUCGAUGAUAUCAUCUUUGGCUCAACGAAUCCUAGCUUAACGGCUGAAUUCAGAAAGCUGAUGGAGACUAAAUUUGAAAUGAGCUCAAUGGGUCCGAUUAACUUUUUCCUUGGUUUAAAUAUUAGACAGGGACCCGAAGGCAUCUUUAUUAACCAGGAAGCUUACACCAAGACUCUCCUUGCGAAAUUCGGCAUGAUGGGAGACUCAAAGGUUAAAGUUCCAAUGGCGUUCGGCACCAAGCUCACUCCAUCCUUGGAUAAGCCAGCAGUCGAUAUUACGCUAUAUCGCCAAAUGAUCGGUUCUUUAAUGUACCUUACUGCUAGCAGGCCUGAUAUAAUGUUUUCUGUUUGUUACUGUGCUAGAUUUCAGGCGAAUCCUCGUGAACCUCAUAUGCUUGCAGUGAAGAACAUACUCCGGUAUCUCAAACGAACUACCUCUCUCGGUUUAUGGUAUCCAUCAAACUCAGGUUUCUUCGUUCAAGCCUACUCAGAUGCAGACCUUGGAGGUUGUGGACUAGACAGGAAAAGCACCACUGGAGGCUGCCAAUUCCUUGACGGGAAGUUGGUUAGCUGGCAAUCAAAGAAACAGACUUGUGUAUCUCUGUCUACAGCUGAAGCAGAAUACAUCGCAGCUGCCUCCUGUACAUCUCAAGUGAUUUGGAUCCAAAGCCAGCUCCGGGACUAUGGACUCAAUAUGAAAAAGAUCCCACUAUAUUGCGACUCUGAAAGUGCAAUUAGGAUCUGUCAUAACCCAGUGCAACACUCCAAGACUAAGCACAUAGCACUGAGGUAUCACUUCAUUAAGGAUCAUGUGGAAGAUGGGAACGUCGAAAUUCACUUUGUUCGAACCACUGAUCAACUGGCCGACAUCUUCACCAAAGCUCUUCCUGAAGCAACUUUCAACAAAAUUCUACAAGGGCUAGGUAUGAUGGAAUCAGAGUCAGUACCAAAGAUUACUUCUCAAGACUAAAAGUUAGAAGCGAAAUAGACCGAACGUUCGGGUUCGGAUCUCAUGUAUGCUUAAAUGAACCGAACGCUCAUGUUCGGGUCUUAAUCCUAUAUACCGAAAUGAACCGAACGAUCGGGUUCGGUUGUAUAAUCUGAUUUUCGCUUAUCACUCAAAGGUAGUUUCUUUGGUUGUAGAUCUUUUGUAUUAUUUUUCCAAAUUCAUUUAUCUUAUUGUCAAAGUUCUUUUCUUUUUCAAACUUAUUUUUUUGGCAACCGAAAUAGACCGAACGUUCGGGUUCGGUUCCAAAAUUUUUCUCACCCGAAAUAGACCGAACGCUCGGGUUCGAUUCCAAAGUUUUUCUCAACCGAAAUAGACCGAACGCUCGGGUUCGGUUCCAAUUUUUUUUUCUGUAUUCAUUUUUUUAUUUUUUUUAUUCUUAUUAUCAAAAAUUCCAAAAAUAUUUUUUUUUUUAUAAAUUCAAAAACUCCAAAAAUAUUUUGUUAUUUAUUUUCUUUUUGGCUCUUAUUUUUUUUAUGUCUGCUUAUGGGUAAAUCAUUUCAUUAGCUAUGUGUCCCUAGAAGCAUGCUGCUGUAUGUGUCCAAAGCCUCACCUGAUUCUGAAUAAUAGCCUUACUGACUUGGUAUAAACAAACCUUGUCUUCCCAAUUAGGCUCUCAUAUUUAUUCUAAUCAUGAGCUACCUAACUCUCUUCUCACAUGAGAUAAGAGUUUUCUGCUUAGUCCUUAUUUUUCACAGCAGAGGUACUUUGGUCUCUUUACACCAUCUACNUCAGAAAUUACCACUGAGGUUUACGGUUACACAAUUUUUGUGUUUAUGAUCUUAGUUUCGUGCCACUACGAGCUAAGUGAAACCCAAAAUUCAAUACCCAAUAUGAAUUGAUGGUGAACAAUUAAUUUGCUCUAGUUUUCUCUAAUGAAUUGACGGACGGACCUCCAUGAAAUCUCUAUUUUUCUUUUGAGUGAUUCCUAUGAAAUUGUUAAAACCAAUAACAUUUCUUCCCUUGGGAUCCAGUUCUAAUUUUUGUUGAGAUUUUAUACAUUUCCUAGCCAAAUUAAAUUAUCUCCAACCUACUUGUUCAACAGACUACACCGGUCUCACAAGUACUUCGUUCGAUUUCUGUCUUAUAUCAAGAUUAGGAAUUCUGAAUCGAAGCGAAAGCCACCCUCUUAAGUCUAAUUAAAAGAAGCCUUUCAACACUUCUUAAUAAGUGUCUGAUCGUUAUUCAACGGGAAACCACACAAACACUUUAAGGUCUCUCUUGACUUUGAAGGAAGAGAUUCGUGCCCGGGAUCUUUUGUUUCGUGUCUUUAUUAACAUCACAUAUUUUCCCAAAAGUGUUGUUUUAUUUCUUUUCUUUUACACACUCAGCACGAAUAUCUUUUUGAUUUUCCAAAAUUCUAGUUCCAUUAAUUUCACGGAGUUUUAAUUGGCUUGGUUGUUAUAAAAGAUUGUGGUGAAUUUUAAUCCACGCGGGAGAAUUUUUUAAAGAUGCCGUUACAAUCUAAAGGGAUAAGAUCAUAAAAUGCUGACUCAGGCGGGAGAUCAAUAGAUUUGACUUCAAACGGCCCCAGAAUGUAAAGCGUGCGAAAUGGAACCGUUUCCUCUCCAAACGGCGCCUGAUGGGAAGGCGUGUAAUUAGGGACUGACACUCUCUCUCAUGCGUGAUCAUCGCCAGCGCCAACUGUCACGCGUCAGUCAAUUCCGAAAAACUCUUCGUUUUUCAAUCGAAGAUUUGGGAAAGAUUUUUCUCUCUCCUUUACCCUCAGUAUAAAAGGCAAUGUAACUCACCAUUUACCUCUUUACUGCGCCUAUAUUUCCAGAGAGCAAGAAAUCCUUUCAACUGUUACUGUUCAUCAUCUCUCCCAUUCAUCUCAACAAUGGCGGAUUCUUCCUCAGUUCACGCAACAUCCCACAUCUUGCCCAUUCGCCCACAGCAAAGUUUGAUCAUCGACUUAACACCUCAUUCGUAUGACACAUUCAUGUGUCCCCAUCAUGGAGUGCCUGAAGUUUUCUCCAAUUGCUCCUGCUCUUUCCAGGGCUGAAACUGUUCCAAUGGAGUUCUUGUCACAAAUCUUUGCCACAACACACUACGACAAGGUCGUUGACAGAAUUUUCUUCGAUGUCUUCGAGCACAAGGCGUCGAUUUCAAAGCAGAGGUUUUGCAUGUUGUUAGGGUUUGACGCUGAUUCUUCAAGGGUAAACCCUGAAACGAUUCCCAUGGGUCAUCUGUUCAACAUGUUCUACAACAUGGGAUACACUGAGGUCCUUACUACGGUGACGAAAUUCAAAAAGUCGUGCCUACCUCCACAGUGGAAUGGGAUGUUCACUGUUCUGUUCAAGGGUUUAUCUGAAAGAAGUGCUGGAUCAGAUGGGUCUAGUCGUUUAUUUCUCUCCAUCAUGUAUGGGAUCUACAAUGGCAUCAACAUGGACUACGGGUCGGUCCUAUGGCAACAACUCAUUCAGAGUCUCUCCUCCACUUCCCGAUACUCAGAGAUCUCUUAUGCCAGGUUUUGGACCAUUGUCACGAAAUGGGUGAUGGACAAGUACCACGUCCCCAUUGUCGCUGGUGCUCCAAUGUCUUCGAUGGGUCCCUUCCAUACCACGAAGAUCAUUGUGUCGGACGCUUCCAAGUUUCCCUUCAACGGGUCUAUCCUGGAAACGAUGUAUGGGGAUGUUCCUGCUGAUAGCUGGAUUAUCAGGACGUAUAAGGAGUUCCUUACUCCAGAGAUGCUGAAGUCGAUUCAUGAGGCUGAUAAGCCUGUCCCCAGAGGAAAGAAGGCUAAUAAGGGGAAGCAAGUUGCAAAGGGAGCAAAAGGCCCUUCUCCCAGGAAGAGGAAACCCACCAGACCUGCCCCAUCCCCUCCAAUGAAGAAGCACAAAACUCAGCCUAGGCGAAAGCUGAUCAUCGCUUCGUCCUCGAGUGAAUAUGAGGAAGAGGGUUCAGAUUCUGAUGGAUCUCAACAUGGUAACACUCCACCACGUUCGCCUACCCCAGAGAUUCAUAUUUCUACUUCUCCAAUUCCAUCUCCACAAGCUACAAUCCCUACUUUUAUUCCCCCCAUAACUUCCACUACACAAAUACCAACCACUUCCAUCCCAGUACCACCACCCAUAUUUACCGAAGCAACCACAACCACCACUGCAGAAAUGAGAACCAACGAAUCUGAUACGGGGGUUCAUACUGACGCACCCGAAACCACCCCAGCACCCGAACCCACACCCACACCCGAACGAACAACCCAACCCGAACCUACCCAUACUACCGAACCACCAGCUUCACCACCACCAUCUUCUCCUGCUCACGCAUCAGAGGAAGAAGAACCACUCCUUGGCGGGGAAGAUAUGACUUUCGACUCGGUCUACUAUAGCCCGUUUCAAGUGCAAAGUGAUGACGAUGACGAAGCUCCUGUCACCAAAAGGCAUUUCAAGGAGCAACAUGACAAAAUCGACUCGCUCAUCGCCUCCUCUUCCACUUCUCAAUCAUCCUUCUCUGAAGCUGCAGUUUAGAAAAUUGUUGACGCUUUCUCCAAAGCUCAGCAAGCUUCUCUUGAUUCAGCCACUACCGCCAUAGAUGCCUCCACCAAAGCCUGUCAGGCUGCGACCGAAAAAGUCGAUAAACUAUUCACUGAUGCCUCCUCCUUAUUGAAAUCUUUACAGGAGAGUGCCGAAGCCGCCAAGACUACGCUGGAACCCAUUGUCCACCAGCUGGCAACAUCAGUCGCAUCUGAGUUGAAAUCCUUCGCUUCUCUUCGUCAAACAAUCUCUGACGACAACUCAGCUUUCCGAACAACCAUUGAAGAGCGUUUCUCCAAGCUUCAAGAAGAUUUGGCUGCCGAGAACACUCUCAUGGAUGCUCUCGCGAGGAAGACUACCGCACUGAAGGUCAAGAGCAUUCAACUCUCUCACUCUCAACAGGAGAUUGAAUCUCUUCGAUCUGAAAGAGAGGUAAUAAAGUCGUGUGUUUCGGAUGUCCACUCUGCUAUAUCAAACAUCCUUGAAGCACAUGAUCUCAUCCUUAAUUACACUGUGAGGCAUGACCUUGCAGAGAAGCUCACUCCCGCCCUUGCUCUACUCAGUAAAAUCGAAGGGCUCCUUGAUUUCGUGUCCAUUCCGAAACAAGGGGGAGAGAAGGAAACGAUGUCUCAACCGCCUCCUACCUCAACAACAACUCACACAACCGAACCUCCUCCAGUGGGCCAAGCCUCCGGUUCUGGUGUGAAAGACAAAGGCAAAAAGAUUGCUGAGGAGAGCAAAGAAGAAGAUAAAGAGACAAUCGCUGACCUUUUGAAGCGUCAAGGUCGAGACAAAGAGGCUGCUAUCAGUGCUCGUGUGGCAAGAGAAGCUGAAGAAGCCGAACGUAAACAGAAAGAAGCCCACGACCUUCUUGAGAGCAGGAAAACUCUUUUUCCCUCUUGGACUCUUGAAAGGAUGAUUAAAGAAGCCAUCGACACACCAAGUAUCUUGUGGCUGGAACCUGUGAUCUCUUUAGAUCGUUCCAACACUGUCGACUCACAGUUCGACAUGUCACUGACCCGAAAGGCGUUUAUCUUUCAUGCCUUUUCCAACGUUGCAGAGUUCCCACAUCCUCAUCCACAGGUUGAUCGGGACUUAAUCGAUUUCUAUCUGAAGGCUGCUCAACCCCAAUACCAGACUUGGAGCGCUCAGAAAAUUGUCAACGUUCGGGUCUUGAAGCCGUACAGGGAAGGUAACUUCACCAACGUUCGGUUCAAGGUACUUCGGGGAUCUACCAAAACCGAACAUGCUAUCUCACUUGCAGAUCUUCCCAACCUUAAUCCCCAUGAUUGGAUUAUCUUGCACAACAUCCUCCACACUAACGAAGCUGAAUACGAUCGGAUCAUCGACCAUUUUAAGAGGAUGCUCGUGUGCUACAUCAUGGAAGUUGCUUUGAUGGAUCAGGAGAUUGCGAGCGUUUUCAAGAAGAAACCUACCAUAUCUCCUGUUGGCUCUGCCAGUGAUCUCAACUUGAUGCAGAUGGGGAAGAUUGACCCUAAGAGAAACUCGGUCAUGUUUACCAGGAACGAAGGACAGAAAUGUCUUUUCGCCUUGGCAGACAAACAUCUCUACACCACUGCCUGCUUGGAACACGUUUUGGGGAUCAUCCAUCGAUGCAAGCAGAAUACAGCAGAUGAUGUUAAGUAAUUUGAUGAUAUGAUUCAAUGGUACAUUCAGUUCAGACAGACUAUCCUUGCACUUAUCUCACGUUUGUUUGAUACUACAAAGAAGGUUCCCGCUGCUGGCCCAAGCAAGAAGAAGAAGUAGUCUCGCUCCAAUUUGACACAAAGGGGGAGAUUGUUGGGUCAUAUUUUGUAUUUUGUGUUGCGUCUAUUGGGCUCAUUAGCUAGUCCAAUAUGUAUCUCCGGUAUAGGCCUGUCCAUCCGUGAGUUUUGUAGGGUUAAGUAUAUAUAGGUGCUUGCAUGCAUCUUAGAAGAGGAUCAGAGAUUUAUUAUUCAGCAAGUUUAUCAUUCUUGUAACCCUAGAAUCCUCUACAGCGGAAGUUCUUUGUCGAGCUCUGCUGAGGAUUGAUAAAUCUAAUCAUUCGACACAUCUUGAUCCAUUCUUGUGUUAUUUACUGUUUUUAUAUUCAUCGCAUUACCUGUUACGAAUAUCUAAUCGAUCAUCAAGUUUAAUUUUAGCUUAUCAAACUGUGUGUUUACUUGUAUUUCCCCCCCUUAAAAGUGUAUAAAAAGCAUUGAUAAAACAUUUGAAAGUGUAGUUUAUAGGGGUAUGAACUCACUUGAUAGAUUGAAGAAAGCGAGAUGAUAAUCGAACAGAACCUCGACUUGGAAAAGUAGAUUUUCUCGGGAAUCUCGGGAACACAAAACCUUCCUUCGGAACUUGAAGGUGAAAACCGGGGCUUCGGGAAGGUCUCGGGGGCUUACACGCAGAGUUUCGGUGCGAGAAAGAAGGAAACUGAGCAAUGAAACCCGGAGGCCUUCAAAUCUAUUUAUAGGGCCAUUUUUUGAGUGCCACGUCAUGGCAGAGGGUGUGACAUGUCGUGGUGAGUCAGCCUUAUCCUCUUCUGUUGAUUGGACGCUCUCAGUCACUGACCGGGUCACGGCGAACUGUGCCACGUCAUGGCAGACCUGACAGCCUCGGAUUUUGGGCCUCGAACUUGUAAAAUCCGUAACUUUUGCAUACGAGCUCCGUUUUCGAUGUUCUUUAUAUGAACGCGUAGGUGAGAAUAUAAUCUACAACUCUCGUUUAGACUUCAUCAGCUAAUUUUGACUUUAUUUUUAAUUAUUUAUUUUUAACGGGCUGGGACACGAAAAAUCCGUUAAAAAUCCAUAACUUCUUUAACCGAUGUCCGUUUUCGUUAGACUUUUUACCGUUGCGCUAAUAUUUUUGAGACCUUCAAUUCUCAUUUAAGUUGUUUCGGCCAAAAGUCUCUCGAUCUCUAUUUCGAGUUUUUAGCUGUCUACUGCUAUAUCCGGAUCUUGGAAAAAUCAUAACUUCCUCAUAUGAAGUCAAAUUUGGACGUUCUUUUUACGUAUGUUUACGGUUUAAUGUUAUUACAACUUUCAUUUAGAUACUUAAGGCUAAAAACUAUUGUGUUGAAACUUCGCGUUUUUCGUUUAAUCGGUGUUGUCGGUGUUGCCGAGAAUCUUAGAAUGGUUAUAACUUCUUCGUUAUAACUCAGAUUUUAGUGUUCUUAGUAUUUCUGUAAACCUUGACACAAUAUCCAACAUAAUAGAUAUUCCUAUAAAGACUUUUUCACAUUUAUUUUUAGGAGUUAAUUUCAUUAUAUCAAAAGUGGUUACAAUACUAGACUUUUUAGGUCAUUACAUAGAGUCGAAAUAUCGGAUUGUCACAAUAACUAAAGAAGUUGGGCCCUUCCCUUGAGAAAUUCACCCAAAGUAAUCAAAGAGCUCUCAAAGUCACCACCUCUUCAACUAUACAAUUAUGUUCGGCUAAUUUCUAAUAGAAUAUGUUUUGAAUUGAAUUUCGGGGUGAAAUUCUUUCAACCGGGGGAGACUGUGACAACCGUCAAAAUUCGAGUCAGUUCUAGAUUUGAUGAACUUAGUUGCAUGUGUAGGCAUGACACAUACUAGAUUUAGCAACUAGAAGCUAAGUUAUAACCUAAUAGAAACUUGGAAACAAGUAGAAUCGAAGGAAAGUGUACUUAGAUUUCACAUUGGUAUGUGAAUUCUAAAACUAUUUAACUGUAAUGACUAUCCAUAUUCGGGUCAUUCUUUGACUUGAACACCUUUUCAUGAAUCAUAUACACACAUUAGGUCAAAGUCUCAUAGAAACUUAAGUCAAAGUUGAAAACUAGGACUAGUAUAUUCGAUUCCUUAAUUUCGCUUGAAUCUUGAAACCACUACAUAGAAUGCCAAUAAAUCGAUAAAAAUAAAUUACAAACAUUAUUGAAAUCUUAAAUAAUUCAAUUUAUUUUGAUAUCCAAAUAUUUAAUAAAUCUCAAGACCCUAAAAACCCUAAAACCCCUAAAAUCUCAAAUUUAUAAACUUUAACACCUAAAAAUCCAUAAAAUUUGGUAUGGACUUUAUAAUAUCAAUUUAAAAUAAAUCAAAUUAGUAAAAUAUAACCAAGGUGAAAUAAAAUUGAAGUCAUUAGUAUUUAACCUUAUUUUCUAAGCAAAAAAUCAAGGUUUUGUGAAUGAAAAUUAAGAUAAGGUGCAUAUUUUAUAAAAACUUGAUAUUUUUAUAAAAUAAAAUUAUAAUUUUAUAAAAUUUAAGAGAGGGAGACCCUCUCUCCAUUCGAAAGUCGGAUUUUUAUCUCUCUCCUCUUCCUAAAGACACUCAAUCAAUUCCUCUCCACACUCCACUUCUCCAUACUUCACUUUCUCUCUUACACUCCCUCACUUCAACUUCUCUCUAUUCUUCCUCUCUCUCAAACCAACGAAUUGUUCCAGAAAAUAGGUCCAAGAACACACCUUAAACUCGAAAUCUUCAUCAUAUUGUAGUGUUCUUGAGGGUAAAAUCGAUUUCUACUUCACUUUUCCUUCAAGUUAUGUUAUUUUUCUUACACUUUCUUCUUAUUGUACUCCAUUCUAUUGUAAAAUCAUAAACACUUGCACCUAAUCACGGUUUUCAUGAUGAUGGUGGUAGGAUUUCAUCUAAAAAUAACAUGCAUUUUGUAGAUGGUGAAGUCCCAUGACCUAAACCUAAGUCAAAAUCAAGGAAAUGCACUUUUCUACAUGUUUUGGUGGAAAAACACCACAUGCACCCUAUGUUUUCUAUCAAAAACGAUUUUUGAACAUUUCAAACUCAUGAUUGGUCUUCAAACCAACAUGCAUGUGAUGAUCUUCAAGCUUAGAUGUUUGAUGAUCAAAGUUUGUUGUUAAAAAGCUUUCAAAUAAGUUUAUAAAGGAUUUAUUCCCAAAUAAAUAUUUAAAACAACUUUUCUGAUCAAAUCUGAUUUUUCCCUGUACUCCACCAACAAAAUGAGAUUUUCUACAAAUUUUAAGAAAAUAAUUUAUUUUUCUCGAAUUAUUAUAAUUAUUGCAAUAAAUUAGGGCAAUAAAUCAUAUAAAAUACUUUCUGAGGUCUAUAAAUCCUAGGUAAAUUCAUGGAUGACCCCUAUGCUCAAUAAUGCAUCUCAAUAAAUUUCAUGGAUUUUUGUUACUGUUUAGUGUGGUUUUGAAUUUUCUUUUUCUUUAGCCACAAUAAAUCAUAAAACCACUUUAGAAAAUGUGAAAAGGAUAUAUAAUAAUUUUCACAGCUCAUACCCUAUCUGUAAGACUGAGAAAAAUACUUUCAGAUUUUUUCAUAAUGCAUUCCUAUUUUUACCCUAUAUUUGUAUUUAUAAUGGACUAAUAAUGGGAAAACUAUUUAUACUCAUCCAAAUUCAUGAACAUUUACCAGACAACCUUAUAAUCUAUUAUAACUCUAAAUAAAAAUUUGGAUGAUUUGUCUAUUCAGUAUGCUAUUUUUCUUCUAUUUUAUAAGAUUAAACACACUUAAAUCCACAAAAUUGGAUUACACUAUAUAAAAAUCACCAUUGGAAUUUUUUCCAGAUUAUUUACACUGUAAAUAAAGUUUAAAUUUUUUUUGGUAAUUUACUUUAACUUUUUAAUAAUUAUUUAAGAGGAUAAAACAAAUAAAAAUAGAAAGACUAAUUGAAAAAUAUAUUUUUUAUUUUUUACAGCUUCUACUUGUAUAGUAACAGUGUUACAAAAAGUUUGGGCAACUUUGGAAACAGUUUUGUAUUUAUUUCAAUUUUUAUUAGAAUAAAUGAACAAAAAUUAUAAAAUCGAGUUAAACAGUUUAGAAAUCCAUUUUUAUAUUUUUACCAGAUUAAGAAUGUUUAAUAACAGUAAUACAAAAAGUUAGGAAAAUUGUGGAAACUGUUUUCUAAUUAUUUCAUUUUUUAUUAGAAUAAAUGCACACAAAUCAUAAAAUUGGGUUAAACAGUUUAGAAAUCCAUUUUUAUAUUUUUCCAGCUUAAAUAUGUCUAAUGUCAAUAUCGUAAAAACUUUGGGAAUUUUUAUCACUUGGAUGCUAUUUUUCACGAAUUUAUAUUGUUAUGAAGCUUAAAAUUUUAGAAAAAUAGUUAAUCAUAUAAAAAAUUCAAAGGAAAAUUUAUGGAAGACCUGUACUGUAUUUAGAAUAAAAAUGCAAAGUUUGACAAUUUUUGGAAAUUGUUUGAUAAUAUUUUAGCUUUUUAAGAGCUUAAAACACAUUUAAAUGUGUUGAAAUACCCUCAAUUAAUAUUACAAAAAUCUGGAAAUCAAUAUCCAAAAUUGUCUUAAUCACAUGAGUUAUAAAACUUUACCAUUUCAGAAAAAUGUUUGUAACUUAUCAAUAUUAAAUUUUGACACAAUAUCAGCAUAAUUCUAUUGUAGUAGCAAAUAUACUAGUGUUAGCUUUCUAUUAGAGACUCAUUAGUGUGUAACAUCGUGUAGGAAUCGAUAGUGGUACUAGUGGAUCGUAGUUGAAGGCACCAUUUGCAUCAUCUUAAUGCAUAUUGUGAGUAUUCACGACUCCCCUAUUUUCGGUUUUUAUAUUUUGGGGUGGAAAAGCAUGUCCGAAAAAUUGUUUAUUGUUCGUUGUAUUUAAAUUGAUUUGUAUCAAACUAGAUUGCUAUAUUUUGCUAUAUUUAUCUAUGUAUGUCUAUGCAACACGAAACAUGAGGCAUUAUCGUCUUAAGUCCCUUCCCUUAUACUUUACUCCAACCAUUAACUCUUUGAGCCAAUGGUCAUUAUGGAUAGCGCUAUUAGGAACUGACAACUCCUCACUCGCCCGAUUGUUGGAGUGCAUGAUACCAUAUAAUCUAUGGAACGAUAAGCAUAGAUCUUGAUAGAGCAUCAGACAUAGGCUUGAUUGGGAACUCAUUGUUUGCUCAUACACACACAAACUUGUUAUUUAUUAUGUCAAUAAACUUCUUUAUUUAUGCAAUGAACUUUGUUUAUGCAAACUUAAUACUUAAUUUUGCAAUAUAUUUCUAUUUAUGGAAACUUUUAUCAAAACUUUGAUUUCAAUUCAUGAAACCAAUAUUUUUUUUUUCUGUGAGUACUCACCAACUAUUUUUAUAGUUGACGCUCGUUUUACAUGCUUUUUCAGGAAUCAUCGAGUAAGUGGCACUUAGGGACACUUCACUGUUAGGAGCAUUCGCAUGUGUUGCAUUCCAAUUUUCAUUGUAAUUUCUUUUAAAAGUUGUUCAAACCCAUUGUAAAAUUGUAAUGAUUUUUAAUACUAUGGUUGGUGUUAUCUUUUAACUUUUGCUAUGAAACCCUUUAUACUGCCAUGCUUCGUGUUUCCGCUUUAGCGGGGUGUGACACAUAGGGAAACAACGACACAUAUAGUUUAUGGGGAUUUUUACAUAUAUAUGAGUUUUAUUUAUUUAAAACUGCACUUACAAUCAUAAGUAUGGAAAAUACUUGUACAUUUUGUCUUUAAGUCUUAAGACUACGAUUUAUUUUAUAAGGAAACUAUUGGAUUUUUCAUGAACAAACACUACAUUUACGAAGAGAGGAUUUCAACUCCAUAUACAAAAGCUUAUGCACCCACCAAAUUAAUUGUUGACACUAUUUCAAAACUACUUGUAUUCUCAGGUAAUAAAUAGAAACAGGUAACUACCAGCUUUUGAGGAUGGAACGCUACGACGUCAGACAAACCAUUUUAUCAUUAUAUUGUAAUCGAUUUUGAAACAUGUAACUCAUGAAACCAUGUAACUUUCUCGAUUAUAUUUAUGAUGGUUGUAUUUACUUUGAUCACUAUUAUACUUGUUUUUAUGAUACUAUACAUGAAGUCCUCCACCCCCGGACGUUUCCGCCAUCCUUGGUUUGGGGGUGUGACAUUAAUGAGUUCCCCCAAAGUACCAACACACUAGAAAACUAACAAAGCAUGCAAAUAUGAACCUUCAGCCUGAUUGGACUGCCUCGCAGUGCCUACAACCUAUCUGGAUAACUCUAUAGACCUUCGGCCUUACUAGAACGCCUCGUAGGGCCUAUAGCCUAUCCGGACCGCCUCGGGUAUCUUAGCCUACAAGAAAAAGCAUGACCGCCUCAACCCAAGAAUAAUAUGUCGACAUAUGUAAUAAACAAACAUAAACACUGAACCGGAAAUACAGAUAACCAAACAGAUCUAUUAAUCGAUCAUCUACUAGCAUAACACUAUCUUAUAACCAGGAUACAUAACCUAGUGGGCAGCCAUUGAUGCCUUCGACCCACGAGUACACUAAGGAGAACUCACCUCUCAGUUUGAAAAAAGAAAUCUGACAUAACACAGCUCCGAACGACAACUCAACUGGUCACCUAAACACCAAAUAAUGACCGAUCUCAAGUACCACUAUAAAUUACCUAAAAUAACCUUAGGUAAAACUUAGUCAAGGUCAAAGAUCAAGCUCAACAAACCAACCGAGUCAACCCAGCUGAGUACGAUGGGCGUACUCAUCUGUAUGCGGGGCGUACUCAUUUGUACCUGGGGCGUACUCCGCUUGACCCAAAAAUCGGGACUUUGACCGCGUAAGUGCAACGUACCAUUUGGUAUGCCCAACGUACGCACCUGAUCAACCCCUUUUCUCAUUAAGAGCUUAAUACAUCAAGUCGUUAUGUCCAAAGUUAGAUCUAAGCCCCAAAUGACGUCUUUGACCAUAAAGUUUCCAACUUUAUGGCCUUGCAAGGCCAAUAAGUGCUUAACAUUAAAAACGUUAACCACUUAACCCAUUAAGACCUUGUAACUCAUGCAUGGAAGGGAAGAAGUGAUCAAGACUACAUUUUUAUGCUUCUAAACACCUCAAAAUGUCUAACAGGACAACUUAAAUGGAUUGGAGCAGCUUAUACUAAAAAAAAACCCAACUAAUGGGACCAAAGGACACAAACUUGAUGGCUAAAUUAGAUUUACGCAUAAAAUCAUCAAGUGCAUAACUUUAUACCUCAAAAGGAAGCUUCGAGGUGAGAUGUUCCUGGAUCUAUAAGGUCUUGAUCUUCCAAGUUGAAGCUUCUUUCUUCACCUUGCUUCAAUGGCGCCACAAACACACACUUUUGAGCUCAAAGAAGCACACAUAAGAGAUUAGGGUUACAAUGGACAAAAUGAGGGUUGGAGGCUGGUGAGAGAAUCAGAAAUGAAGAGUUAAAGAUGUUUAUAUAGGGUCCAAAACCUAAAAAUUAGGGUUUGAGAAUCAUACACGUACGCCCUGCGUACACUACAUACGCCUAACGAACGUGGCCUCAUCCAAAGAUCUACAAAAAUGCCACUAUGGGUCAUCUUGCAACAUUUUUCACAUACAAGGGCUAAAUACAAUAAAUCUUCAUACUUAUGGGUUAAAUUUUGAAAUACCUCAUCGUCAGGAUGUUACAAAAUUAAAUAAAAAAUUUAGGGUAAAAAUCACGCAUUACACUUUAUAUCUUAUACCUUAUACACUAUACCAUUAACCCAAACGUGUAUGUGCUAUGUGAAAGGGUUUAUACCCUAUACCCUAUAUCAUUUACCCAAACAAGUUUUUGCUUUGUGAAAGGGGUGUGCUUUCUGAAUAACUGUAGUGUUUUGUGAACAUGAUGGUGUUUUGGGAUAAAUGAGAGAACUGUUCGACAUAAGGUGUUAAGUUUUUGUUAUGGACAAGCACGAACCACAAAUGAUGUUAAUAAAACGUAAAUGUGUUCACAAAGGAGUUUAAUUAAUUACUUAUAUUUUUAUCAUGCUUUGUGUUGUGUGUUUAUAUAUAUNNNNNNNNNNNNNNNNNNNNNNNNNNNNNNNNNNNNNNNNNNNNNNNNNNNNNNNNNNNNNNNNNNNNNNNNNNNNNNNNNNNNNNNNNNGUAUAAUUUAGGGAUAAUGACUUGAAAGGGUAACAAACUUUUGAAUUUGUUCACAUUUAGUCACUAUUUUUUUUUUCAUUAUUAUUUGCCGCUGAACUAUAGAAAAUGUUCACAUUUUACCCUUAUGACCGGUUGUUACCGGUCAUAAGGGUAAAAUGUGAACAGUUUCAAUAGUAUAAGGUAACAACCGGUCGUAAGGGUAAAAUGUGAACAAUUUCAAUAGUUCAAUGACAAAUAGAUAAUGAAAAAAAGUUUAGUGACUAAAUAUGAACAAAUUUGAAAGUUCAUUUCCUUGUCAAAAAAGUUUAAUGACUGAAUAUGAACAAACUUUCCUCUUGUAUUAUGGUUUAGCAAAUUAUGUAUUUUUGUUAAAUUUUUACAACAUUUGUUGAUGAAGAAAUCUAUGAAAUACAAAAAAAAAACCCCCGAAAAAUGUAUAAAAAACGAAAAAAACGAAACCAAUAUUAUAUGUAUAAGUUUUAUGUUAUGAAACUAUGCAAUAUUAUAUGUAUAAAAGUUAUCCUAAUAUUAUAUGUAUGAAUUUUGUGUUAUAUAAUUAUGCAACACAUAACUUGACAUAUAUUAAACCAUAUACGUUGUUUAUAAAAUAAUACAUACAUACAUUGAUACAUUACAUAUGUUGUUAUACUCCAUGUAUUGACAUACAUCAUAUUAGUAUAUUUACUAUUAAAAAGGAUAUCAAAAAUGAAAGUCAAGUUGUUUAGAAUUUAGACAUUUUUAAUUUACGCGGACAAUUUAUUUAUAUUUGAGAUUGUAUUUUCUUAAAAAGUUUGAAUAAUUAUUGAGUUUUGUGAUUAUUUAACUAGAAAUACAGUUCAGUGGCAAAUAAAAGAAUGAAAAAAAGUUUAGUGACUAAAUGUGAACAAAAUCGAAAGUUCGUUACCCUUUCAAGUCAUCAUCCCUAUAAUUUAUUACUUUAGUGUGUGUCUUUGUUAGGCUAAUAGGAGUGGUAACACACCUAGCACAUUGUCACAUCAACUUUUUGGAUGCCACCUCAUUUUUUUUCAUUUAACACGUAAGGUUAGCAUUUGGUAAGGAGUGGUAACACUCAUAACACUUCAUUUUUUUUAUUUUCUUUUUCUAAUUUAAUUUAAUUACAUUAUUUUAAUACACAAACAUUUUAUCUAACAUCACAUUCAACUACAUUUAGAAUCCUAAACUAACUCAAAACCUUAAAUUAGGAAAGUUUUCCCAAAAUACCUCUGGGACCAAAUUUAACUACAUUUAUCUAACAUCACAUGUUCCACGACCAUUUAAGCUGCAACCUUCCAAAAAAUGGCAAUACCCUCAUGACUUGGUAGACUGAUGGCACACUUUCUGCAAGCAAUGACAUUUUGAACUUUGUUAGAUCAUGGAAUUCAAGUCGUUUAAAUCCAUAUUCUAGAUUCCUCAUGAUCAAAAUCCACAAUAUUUAUAUGAAAAAUGAAACACUACAAUUUAGGACACAAUAUUUAUAACCUCUUGAAGUUCAUUUGGCCUCUUACCAUGCGAGGAGCAUCAACAAGUGCCGAUUAAUCAAAUCAAAAUAGAGGUAAUUAAGACAUGAUCAUCUAUAGCAUAUUAAAUGUUUCUUUGAAUCCAUAUAACAGAAGCCACCAGACAUGAUCACGUGGAGCAUCUCUAAUUCCUAAUCUUAGUAUUUUGUUACAACUAAUUUCAAGCAUUUUUAAUAGCUUUGAUUUGAAUUACACGGUGAUAUUCUCACAGAGGCAAAUGAUUGAACACCUGGUGUGCACAGGAAAAUAACAGCAGAUAGUCAUAGCCAUGGAAACAAAUCUAAAGCUUAAUGAUCUGAACAAUUUUUUUUAAACUAGAAAACAGAAGAGUCUAUGAACAAGACUGAAAAAACAUAAUAAAACUUUAAAGAUUGAGAAUGGUUCUCAAGAUCAAAACCAGAAAAAUCUUUAAGAUUAACAAAGGUGAAAGACUUACUCCCAACACAUUAUCCAAAUUUUGGGAAAUUUUAAUUCGUUCUUGCACAUCCAGUCAAAUUCGAUUAAUUCCGGACGCUAGGGCUUUUUCAAAACGAAACUAUAAACUUGAAUUCGGUCAAACCUCACUCCCACCAAUCAAAUUUGUUCCUCACCAUCUCUCUCUUCGCACCAAAGGUUUAGCACGUCUCUGGCGACCCCCCUAGCGAGGGCUAGGGGGCGGUGUUCUAGCGAGGUUGGCGAUGCUGGCGAGGCAAGUGGUGAGUGCCACUCUGCUUAGUCUUAGUAGGUGAUGAUUAACAACACUAGAGAAGUUUAAAGUUUUUAGCCACCGUGUCAUAAUUGGGUAUUUCAAGUAAGUUUUUGAUUAUAAUCUAAUAUUGCUAUUGUAUAUUUUNAUAUAUAUAUAUAUAUUGGAUGUUUUUAUUUUAUUUUGUAUUUUUGAAUGAUUUUGAUUUUUUUAAUAUUUAGUGGGUACCUGUAAAAUAGAACCAUGUUAAACGCCUCCUCAUGCUUCAUUCGGGUACUUGGACAAUUUGGUUCGGUUAAAGAUAUUGCAAAUGAGGUACUAGGGUACCAUGUUCUAUUAAAUCGUGGAGAAUAAACAUAACAUAAUAGUGGUAUGGAUUGAUACUCGUAUGAAAAAGGGUACUCAAUAAUUAUUUGCUGGAAACGUUUAUAUUAAAAAUAUUAUUCGUAAAUAGUAAAAUUGUAUCCAUGAGAAUUUAUUGGUGGUGCUUUGUUUAAAACAAAGAAAAAACUUUCACAAUCUCAUGUUCGUUAUUUGUGAUCGUUGUUUUUUUUUAAGUCCAAAAAUAAUAAAUUUAGACGCACUUGUAUUUUAUAUUAUUAUUUUAAUGAAUAAGUGCAAUUAUAAAGCUCGUGUGGACACGUAGACUAAUUAAUUAAAGUAGAUCACCAAAAAUGUCACAAAAACGUGUUUAAAAAUGUUCGCCAACUGAUUAGGACUACUAUAGACUACCAAUGUAAAAGUGAUUAUUAAUUGUUAAAAAACUGAAGUUUAUAAAUAGUUUAAGGACUAAAUAUGUAACUUAACACUACCCUCAACUUGCCCAGCGCAUGUAUUUCUCUCGAUUCCCGGGCCAAUAAAUUUUGAAUUCAAACCCGAAGUCGAACAUAAACCCUAAAAACACAAUCCUCUCAUAUACCUUCUUAUCCUCCUCCACCACAAAAAUUCUAAACUUCGAUAAAUUCUAAACCCUUCAUCUUCAAUCUCAAAUCCUAAUCUCAAUACCACACAAAGCACUAAACCCUAACCAAUGGCUAAAAAGAAAACAGACCCCCAAGCUGAAAGCAACUCCAGCAAAUCCCAAGACACAGCCCAUGAUAACGAAAUGGAUGAACCUGCUCCAGUGAAGAUUAAGAAACUGAAAUCUCUCAAUGCAUUGUUACUUAAAGAGACCGUUGAGCGGCGUCAACAGGUCGAUUCAUUAACCAAGUCGAACGCUCAUCUGAAAUCCGAGUUGAGUCGGUCUGAAAUGGAUAAAAGCUUGCUGCAGUCGGAGAUUAAUGGGAUGACUGAACAAGCGGUGAAGUUGGAGAUUGAGAAGGGAUUAGUUUCCGUUUUUGUGACUCAGCAGGUGAAUCAGCUGGCGGAGGAAAAAAUCGAGAGUUUGAUGGAGAAAGUCGGGAGCUUGGAGGGUGAGAUGAAAAGGGCUUUGGAGGAAAAGAGUGAAAUGGAGAAAUCGAAGAGUGAGAAAGAAUCCGAAAUUAUGGAUUUGAACAGAAGAGUCGAUGAACUUAUGGCUAAGGUUGAUGAAGAGAGACGUGUUUCAUCUCGUGCUUGUGGUGAGAGUGAUGAAGUUAGGGCCAUGUUAGGUGCUAAAAUUCAAGAGGUGGAUGAGUUGCAGAUGAAGGUAAGGGAAGCAGAAAAAACCGAAGCCCAUAAUUCGGAAGAAAUUUUGGAAUUACAGGCUAAUUUUGACAGAUUAGUCCACGAAAAUAAAGUCAAUAUGCAACGAAUUGAGUCAAUAACGAAGGAAAAGAACAUGAUUCAGGAGAGUUUUGUUGAAGCGAAUGAACAGAUUGAUGUUUUGAAGAAAACUGUUGACACCCUACUGCAACAGAUAAAGGCGAUUGAAGAUGAUAAGGACGCCCAGGAGAGAAAGAAUGAAGAGCUGCAAAAUUUAUUGGCUGAACUCAAGGAUUACAUAGAGGACAUGAAAUUUGAAGAGCAAGAAUUGCAAGAGAAAAUCACCGAUCUGGAGAACAAGUAUGCUGUAAGUUCAGAAAACGAGGUAGCACUGAAAAACGAAAUCGAUGGGUUUGUCGAAGAAAAGAAACAAACAGAUGAAAAAAUCAAAAGUUUGGAGAUUGAAAAAAGUUCGGUUCUGAAAGAUUUGCAGGAUGCCAUGGAAGAGUUAGAGCACCAGAAGCUCAUGCUUGCGCAGAUACUUAAAGAAAAAACCGAAUUAGAAGAUGCCAAGAUUCAAGGAGAGAAUGAAAUCGUCAAGAUGAACGAACAAUUGACAACAUUUAAUGACACGAUUUCAUCACUUGAAAGCUCUGCAAUCAAUCAAAAUGAGAAACUCAAGCAAUUAGAGGAAGAAGUUGGCCACUACAAAGCUUCAUUGGAUCAAACCACAAUCCAAAGAGACGAAGCCCUCAAGACUCUUCAAGAACUAGAAGCCAUUAAAACCGAUUUCCAACACAAGAUUACAGAAAUGGAAAAAGAAAUCGAAGAUUUACAUGAUCUGGAGAACAAAUAUGCCACAAGUUCAGGAAACGAGGUGAUAUUACAAAAGCAAAUCAAUGAUUUGGAUGAAGAAAAGAAAGAAAAAGAUGAUAGAAUCAAUAGUUUGGAGAACGAGAAAAGUUCGGUUCUGAAAGAGUUGCAAGAUGCCAUGAAAGAGUUGGAGCACAAGAAGCAUACAAUCGAGCAGAUACUUCAAGAAAAAACAGAAUUAGAAGAUGCCAAGAUUCAAGGAGAGAGUGAAAUCGUCAAGAUGAAAGAACAAUUGACAGCAUUUCAAGACACGAUUUCAUCACUUGAAACCUCUGCAAUCAAUCAAAAUGAGAAACUCGAGCAAUUAGAGGAAGAAGUUGGCCACUACAAAGCUUCAUUGGAGCAAGCCACAAUCGAAAGAGAUGAAGCCCUCAAGACUCUUGAAGAACAAGAAGCCCUGAAAACCGAUUUGCAACACAAGAUUACAGAAAUGGAAAAAGAUAUCGAAGAUUUACAUGAACUGGAGAACAAAUAUGCCACAAGUUCAGGAAACGAGGUGAUAUUGCAAAAGCAAAUCAAUGAUUUGGAUGAAGAAAAGAAAGAAAAAGAUGAACAAAUCAAAAGCUUGGAGAACGAGAAAAGUUCGGUUCUGAAAGAGUUGCAGGAUGCCACGAAAGAGUUGGAGCACAAGAAGCAUACAAUCGAGCUGAUAGUUCAAGAAAAAGCCGAAUUAGAAGAUGCCAAGAUUCAAGGGGAAACUGAAAUUGUCAAGAUGAAAGAACAAUUGAUCCUACUUCAAGACACAAUUUCAUCACUUGAAAGUUCUACAAUCAAUCAAACCGAGAAACUUAGGCAAUUAGAGGAAGAAGUUAGCCACUUCAAAGCUUCAUUGGAUCAAGCCACAAUUCAAAGAGAUGAAGCCCUCAAGACUCUUGAAGAACAAGAAGCCAUGAAAACCGAUUUGCAACACAAGAUUACAGAAAUGGAAAAAGAAAUCGAAGAUUUACAUGAUGUGGAGAGCAAAUACGCCACAAGUUCAGGAAAUGAGGUAAUAAUGCAAAAGCAGAUUGAUGGGUUGUUUGAAGAGAAGAAAGAAACAUCUGAACGUAUUGAAAGUUUGGAAAAUGAGAAGAGUUCAGUUCAGAAAGAGUUGCAGGAUGCCAU
rnacentral:lncRNA from 1 species